rnacentral:rRNA from 1 species
UUGGGGUUGCGGACAUAUCAUAACGAAGAGGUAUCGUAAUUGAAGAGGUUUGGAAAGACCCACCACAGAAGGUAAUAGUCCUGUAUGUUAAACGAGAAGACUUUAGAUAUGAUCCAGAGUACCACGGGACACGUGAAACCCUGUGGGAAGCAGGAGGGACCACCCUCCAAGGCUAAAUACUACCUAGUGACCGAUAGCGUAUAGUACCGUGAGGGAAAGGUGAAAAGAACCCCGGGAGGGGAGUGAAAUAGAACCUGAAACCCUGCACUUACAAGCUGUGGAAGCACAUUUCUUGUGUGACCGCGUACUUUUUGUAGAACGGGCCAACGAGUUACGUUAAGUAGCAAGGUUAAGCACUUAAGGUGCGGAGCCGUAGCGAAAGCGAGUUUUAACUGAGCGUUCAGUUACUUGACGUAGACCCGAAACCGGGCGACCUACCCAUGGGCAGGAUGAAGCGAAAGUAAAAUUUCGUGGAGGUCCGAACCCACGAGCGUUGAAAAGCUCGGGGAUGACUUGUGGGUAGCGGUGAAAUUCCAAUCGAGCCCGGAGAUAGCUGGUUCUCCCCGAAAUAGCU